GGAUGAGAAGGCUGUUUAUCGCCCUGAUCACACUGUUAAGUGCUGUGUCCUCCAGUCAGGAUGGGAUCUCUGCAGCAGAGGUGGAGCUGAGAGUCCGACCAGGAGACAAUGUUGUUCUUCAUUGUGACAUCAAAGACCAUCUGGUAACAGAUUGGCACAGAAACAGCUCCGUUGGGAAUUGGAGUCAUUUUAGAAUUUCCAAAUCCAAUCCUGUCCGUCGAUUCUAUUUCCUGUUGCGUUCUCAACAGUUCUAUGAUCUACUGAUAACUAACGUCUCUGAAUCCGACCUGGGACUCUACUACUGUGGGAGCUGGCAGAGACCUGUGGUGAACAAGGAAGGGUUUCUCAGUGGCACAGAAAAAGAGGUCUACAACCAUGGAAAUGUCAUCACCAGACUUUCAUUUGAAACCCGUCCAACUGAGUCCUCCUCCUCAUCCCCUGAUGUAGACUGUGGUCUGUGUUGGAUGUUGCUGUUCAGU